UUUUUUUUUUUUUUUUUUUUUGCAAUAAAUUAUACGACCUUCAUCAACACGUUUGACACUGAAUUUAGUUCUUUCCAUUUUCUCCUAUUAUUCAAACCUUUUAGGCCCCAUAUGAUUUUUCUCUUAGAAUUUUUUUAUAUAAAAGGAUACUAUAAUGAUUUGACGUAUUAAAAAAAAUUUUGAUUGAAAAAUGUAUUCAUAAAAAAUAAUUUUUUAAAAAACAACAACAAUCCAGAAAUCCAAACGAGACUUUAUCUUUCAUGUUGUGAAAUGAAAACUAUGACAUGUACACCUACAAUUUGAUCCGCUGCUCUCUCAUGUCGUUUAAAAGCAUUUAAAGGAUAUAGUAAUUGGAUUAAUCUUUUAUAUAUUGACAACAUAUAUACUGUCAACAAUUGAUGCAUAACAAUUCAUCUGAAUUUAGAUUUAAAAUUCAAAUUUUACUCAUGUGUCAUACAUCCAAUAAUAAUAACAAUAUAUACACUGUCAAUGUGUAUAAGAUUUGCGGAGAGUAUUUAAGUUGAAAGAAAUGCAAUUUUAAAGUUCAUUGCGAAACUUUCAUUCUCAGUUCUCGACGUACACGGUACAUCUAAGGUAUCGCCGAAUGGAAAGAGAUAAAAACCAGAAACCGUGGCAGGCUAUAUAUCACAAGAAUACGGGUGGUCUGAAACCUUCUUGUUUGCGAUUAGGAGCAUCAACUAAUCAUUAAUUUGUGGAUAAUGCCUCGUGAAUCGUGAUAAAGAUAAUGGCAUCUUCUCACGUAACAGCAUGUUCUACAUUUUUGUUAUGUUUCCCUAUGAAAAGACAUUUUUCUGAAUUUAUUAUGUAUCUUUGAUGUCUUUUCUCCUUUAUUUUUUUUUGACAAAUUUGAUGUCUUUUCGUUUAGUAUACAAAGCCAACCGAAAUCAAUCACCCCAUGUCGUGGUUGAAAUCAAUCUUUUAGUAUGCUUCUGCUUGAAAUGUAUGGUGAUGAUAGAUAGCCCAUGAUGUAAAUUUGAGAACCAUCUCCCUUGUGCAAAACUGAUUUGCCUAUCAAUGGAAAAGGAUUUUUGCUAGAGAGAGAGAGAGAGAAUUCCAUUCAAAGGAGCAGAAAAGACACUCCCACAGCUUCUCGUGGUUGGUACACCUUAAGGAAUGGAAAUGGAACAAUAGACAUGUUAAAAUAGAGGAGGAAUCAUGUCCAAGAAAGUUUUACUUGCAAGAUUUGGCCGCCAUAUCAGCAGCAUUUAGCAAUGAUGCAAAUAAUUGAAAAGGUGGAAUUUUCGGGCUCCAAAUGAUUGACCGCCAACUUGCUCAGCUCACGAGUUCCACCGACAUGACCUGCGAAAUUGACAUCUUCGGACCGGAUUCAUGAAAGAAAAUCUGUGAUUUAGAGAAAAGGUGCUCAUUUUUAAGCAGUUCACACACAAAAUUGACUGCACCACCAACGGGGCCCUGAACCGUGAAAUGAUAACCCUCCACUCCGCUCCCAAGGCUAGUCCCCUCAACCGGGGAGAUAUGAAUCAAAUAUCCUCCUCCUCAUUGGUGCCGCCAUCAAGUUUUCAGUGAGCCACCAUGGCCAUGAUAUAAACCCUUGUGAUCGUGCUAAUCACACUCACCUUGAGAUUGCCAUUUUAACUGACAGGCAUGCUGCUUCGAAUCAAAAUCCAAUUUGGCGGCCACGCUUAUCAAAUUCUGUGAUCUCCAUGAAUUCUGUGCCGCAUUUUUUAUAUUUAUGGAAGUUGUCACAAUCCAAAGAUGUGCAUAGCCACUGUUUUGAUUCUUCACAGGAUGAUUCAUAUGAGCGACUCCAGAACAUACUAUAAUAAGGUUUACCUACGUAUGCACGCUAUAUCUUGGGACUGGCGGCAAUGUAUAUUAAGUACUAUAUUGAUGUUGCUUAUUAAUUACAGUAUUAUUGCUUUACCUUUCAUUGUAUGUUUUGUCAUUUGGGUUGAACUAAAGUGUACGUACGCCGCUCUGUAUGAAACAAAGAUUUGAAGUUCUUAAAAUGUGAUUCCUAAUUUUUCGAAUUAGAAAGCUGCAGAAAGGAAUCUAUUGGUUCUUUCAUUUCGAAUUUUUUUAUUUUGUUACGUACAUACAAGUAUGGAUUUUGUUUUAUUUAUAAAUUGGUAGUUACAAGUAGAAAUAAAUUAAUAAUGACAAAAGCAGAUUUCAAACCUUUUUCUAGUGGAGACAAUAAUAAGAUUUCAAACAUUCAAUGGUUCUGUCAGUAUUGGAUACUUCUUCUCUUGAAUGUUGUUAAUGCUCUACUUGUUAUACUUUGGAAUUUAUUUUCUAGAGACAAUCAAACCUUCUUCUUCUCCUGGAUCUACUUUUUUUUUUUUUGGCUUUUAAAAAAAAAAAAAAUCCAAAUCUUGCAGUAUUAUACCUGACCCUCUUCAGCCGAUAACCCGUUGAAGAUGAUUGCGUAUGGAUAGUAAUUUAGUAAAAGAGAUAAAAAUGGUUAGAGCAAACCAAAUUACGAAGGGACCGCUCAACUGAUAGAUGCACAUACCUCUGUGUAGCAGGUGUUGAAAUUCAAGUGCAUCCUAUCAAGUUAUAAUCUUUUCUAAAGAAAACAGUGAAAAAGAUAAGUUGAUGGUUAUGUCCAUUUGCUGGUCUAUUAUUUGUUGUGCAAAGCUUUAACAAGAUGAGCACUUGUGUCAUUUUCCACAUUUUACACUAACAAUGGAAUUAUUAGCACCAUUUGGGUAGGGAUGGCAAUUGGACAUAACCAUUGGGUUAUUUCCACAUUUUACACUUGCGUCAUUUCCCAACCCCCGCCCCACCGAGGGCUACUGGGUCGGGUGGGGGGCAGGGGAGUAUACCCCCGCUCCAUCCCUCUCCCGCCACCUGCUAAUAUAUACACAUAUAUAUAUAUGUGUGUGUAUGUAUGUAUGUGUAUAAUUUUUAAUUUAAUUAGUUACAACCUUGUAAUAGUGAUAUUACUAGUUGUAAGUAUCAUAUAAUGUAUAGUAGUAUAUAUAAUAUACUUGAUAUUAUCAAUCAUACUAAUAAUUAUACAUGUCUACUAAUAAAAAUUAUUAAUUAGUUAUACUAAAUUUACUAAUACAUUUAUACUAAAUUCGUAAUUACACUUAACAUAAUAAUACUUUUUUUGUCAAAAAGUACAAUAAUGGCUUAGUGAUUGUAUUUAUUUCAUAAGUCAAAACUUGACUACUUUAGUUAUAUUUGUUCAUUAUGUUGGAUUAUAUUUAAAUAAUUUCUUUUAUGCGUACCUUGGCCCCGUGCUUUAUGCAUGCUAGUGUUCCUGACACACGCGACCACCGGAGGCAGAAUUUAAGAAGGGGAGCCCAGAUUCAAAGCCAGAAUUUAGAGCGAAGAAUGAGCUAUAAUGCUUAAUAUGUUUUGUUUUACACGUUGGCAGAAUCAAAAUGGGUGUGAGAUGCAAGAUGGAAAGUGGGCAUUGGAGUACCGCCGAUUUGAAGGUUAUAGAACGGUGAAAGCACAUGGGAAGAGUAUAUAAUCUUUAUCCAUUGAGGACUGUAUACGCCUGUGUCUAUCAUUUAACAUAUUGUGUUUUUAAAGUUAAUUUUCAAGGUGAAUUCUUCUUCUUUUAUAUAAUGAUGUCUCUAUAUUUCAGGACACCACAAAUGCACGAAAAUAAAAAAGAGGGGUGAACCAAAUAAUAAAAUUCUAACAUAUUAGUACGUAUUGUUAUUCACAUCCUAAUUUGAGGAUACUUUUUUCACAGUGAAUAUUCUUUUUGCGGACAAAGUUAAAUUUGGAACUUUAGCAGACAAAGUUAGAUUAAAUCGACGUCCCAUUUACGUGGUAUGGUUAUAAAAUCUAGCUUGGCUUGACGGUCGAACCGUUCAAACCAGUGAACUGGCCAUUACGAUGGAGUUGGGCUCACAAAUCAGCCAACCAUCCAGCAAUCGAAUUGGUGAAUUCAAAAAAAUCACUGCCAACUAAAAAGUUUUACUCUUUUAAUAUGUUAUUAUAUUAUAAAAUAUAGCUAUUGUCCAAUCGUGGUUCAAUCGAAAAAUCGUUGAGCAGAUCACCUCUCCGUGUCAAAAUUCAGACCGGAUUUUAUAACUAUGUUGUGUGGUCCUGUCGCGUGUUACUUAAUAAAAAAAAACAAAUAAUAAAAUUUUCAAACAAUUGAACCAAAUACUGACAGCUGUAGAACAAAACCACAGGGUAUGCUUGGGCCGUUUUCUUGGGAUUAGAGCAUAGCGAAUUGCAUAAUGCAGCGGAGAAUUUCAAUUUGGGACGGUCUCUGUGUCCAGCUUUUAGGGGACCAGUGGGAAUCCAGCGGAUUAUUAUUAUAUUAUAUUAUAUUAUACACGAAUUAUUUAUUAUACGCGAGAAAUUCGGAAUGACGUACGUCGACAGGUCUGUAAAGUGGCCCAUAUUGAUCCAUGACAACGAAAAGUGCUGCUUCCUGUGAUGGUAAUGUUCCACAUGAUCUGGAUAUUUUAAUUGGGCCUUAUGUCCCGAGAUGUAUUUAUACGCAUGCUUAUUAAAAACUUUUUUUAGUUGAGAUUUUAAUAAAAAUACUUAUCAAUUGCUUUAGUGAUUUUAAAAAUAUUAUUUAGAGACAUAAUUCAAUAAAUACUUAUUGCAUCGGAUAAUGUGUAAUUUAAAAAUUUUUAAAAGUGUUUAUCUCUUUAUUUGGUUCCUAAUAUAGGAAAAAAUGAUUAAAUUUGAUAUUUUAUUUUUAAAUCACAAAAAAGCUACUCUAAAAUAACCGAAUUUGAGCUUUUGAUAAAAGUGCUUUUAACACCAAGAUCUCUGCUCUUAAUUUUAUGGGGUGAUGUUCUGCCAAACGCAAGUAGUUUUAUUACCUAAAAGUAUUUUUUUUUUUUUUUUGCCAAAAACACUGCAACCCUAAGCGGUGCCUUAAUUCCUUAACACAGCCACCCCACAGGCCAGAGGACGUUUAAUUAUUUUUUUUUUACUUUGUUUAAUAUUUUAUUCAAUUUUUGUCAAUUCAGAAAAGUGAAACAUAAUGCAUAAUGGUGGUAUUUCCAUAAAUACAACACACAAAUUAAUUAAUUGAUGAGGCCCACCAUGAUCGGAUUGUUGCUAUACCCUACUCUUCCCUGUAUUUCUUUCUUUAAUCAAUAGUUUUGAUUUUUAAUUUCAAGUUGAUGCGGAAAGCACAAGAAUUGACCAGGCUUUGAUUCACCCCGUCAUGAUUGUUCUUUCUCUCAUUCUUCCCUCCAUGCCUCCCCGUCUGAACAAGAAUGGAAGAAGAUUCGCUUGCUUGAAUUUUUUGAUUUCGUACAUUACACUUUUUUUAGAUCAUCUAAUCUUCUUUGGGAGUUUAUCAAAAAGAAGUUCCACGCACUUUGGUUGACUUAGCACUCAGUGUAACUGUGUAAGAUGAAUUGAUCGUGUUGAGUAAGAAGUUACGAUAUUCAAGAAAUAUAGAGGAGGAUAAUUAGGUUCACGAGUUGAGACAUAAAAGUUAUUAUGCUUAUAUUAAUGUUAUUUAUAUUUCACUUCUCUACACAAUUUCAACCUUCCAACCUUAGCUUAUAUGUAUUAACUUUAGCUUAUAAUUCUCACAGUUAAUAGACGGAAGUUAGCCCGCGUGACGAGCACAUUUAUGUGAAUGGAUAAUUUAGACAUUUCACAUUAAACAAUAAACCUUUUGAGGCCCAAUUUAGUGAAUCUCUUUUUUUUUUUUUUUUUUUUGGAUAGGUUUUUACUCUUACAUUCCUCAUCCUUUCCACGCCCUAAUCGUGAUCUUUUAAGUAGGAAGCCUUGAAUUUAAAACUUCACAUUUACACUAUUUUCUCUCGUACCACCUAAUCCAUCUUUCCCAUAUUCUAGUUUGAUUAUCAAGAAUUAAGGGUUUUCUUUUGGAUCCAAUUCGUUAAAAUCUGGGACUUCUUUUAGUACGUUGAAGAAUCAAGGAAAGAGCUAAUUCUUUAGGAUUGAUUAAAUUCAUAUUAAUGACCAUAACAUCGAUGGAUUUCUCACUUGAGAAACAUUGCACUCUCAUAAGGGUGAGAAUCGGUCAAUUUAUUUGUUAAUUAGUUAAAUGAAAUCAAUCAAAAUCGUUUUUUACCUCUCUCAACUUCGGACCUUGAUCGAAAUUGAUUUUGUUUUCACAAAAUUGAAAUCAAAUUAAAUUAAAUUUGAAAUUUUAUUAAUAAUUUGUCCAUUUUAAUCUUUGUUAUAAAACCACAAAGAUGAGUUUGCAGUUAAUAUCUAAAAAUUACAUCAUAUGAUUUUAUAAAUUAAUGUAUAAAGUAAUUAUUCAUAAACUCUAAAAAAGAACAAUGUAUCCACACGUAUUUUUAUAUACGUAUGAAUUAAGCACAUAUUAUGUAAUAAGCAGUUUAGUGUUAGACAUUACUAUUACUUGAUGUAUAGUACUUUUUAUGUAAGUUUUUGUCUUUUAGUUAUUGAAUAGGUAUUAAUAUAAUCAUUCCUAUUGAUGAAAUAGUUAAUAACUAAAGGCCAAUGUGUAUAUGUAUAUAUACAUAUACAUACAUAUAUACAUACAUAUACACACGUACAUAUAUUAUAUCUAAUAAUAUAUAUUAUGCAUAUAUGUAUGUGUGCAUAUACUAUAUAUUAUAUAUCCAAUAUAAAUUUUAAACUAUACCAUAGGACAUAAAAAUCUUAAGACAUAAAAAACUAAAAAUACACAAUAUGAGUAUUAUAUACAUAGAAAAAAGGGUUCAAUUAAAAUUGGCAUUGAACAUCCAAAUCAGAAUUGGAAUUAAAAUUGAAUUUAUUGAAAUUGGUUUUAACUGAAAUCAAAUUAAAAUCAAAUUCACCGAAAUCAAGUUCAGUAUGCAAUUUGAUAUGAAAAAUAUUUUGGCUGGUGAAAUAAGAAUUUUAAAAUUUUUGGUAACCUACUCCGCACUUGGUCCUAGUUUCAAAGUACAUCGUGUAGAAAACCACAAUUAGUUGAUAAAAUUAUGCAUGACAUGUAUGAAUCCGACCAGCAAACCCAUAGUUAGUUGAAGAUUUAUUAUUCAUCUGUUCAGCAAACAAAGUAAAAGACUCCCAUAAGCUCAAUUCAUCAAUUGUCAGUGUCAUCGGGAAUGAUUUAAUUAUAUUGACUCACAAUCUAAACAAAAUAUAUAAUAUUAAAAGCCUGACAUAAUUAACAUUGGUGCAAAAUGUUUAAUUUAAUAAUCUAUAAUGCCCAAUUUGUUAACAAAAAGGUUCUGGUGAUAAAAGAGCCUCGUUCCUCAUCUCACAAUGAGGAUUAGACUCUCAUGAUCUCCAUUCUCCAUUUCUCCCUAUCCUAAAUUGAUUGGCUGUGUAUAGUUUUUGCCAUGCACCUCAUAAAGCCACGCUUACGUAAUCAAACCAUAUAUUAUAGGGUUAAUAGAACUAAAUUCUCUUGAAUUUUACCCUCAAUUGCACUUUGCUCUCCUCAACUCAAUAAAUAGGUGUUUUGUGCCCCUAUUUUAUAUUUUAAGAUAAAAAUGCCCCUUUCAUAUUAAUAUUAUUUUAUUUUUUCCUUUUUUUUAACCCUUUUGCUACUUGUCCCUUUUUUUCAUAUUUUUAAAAUUUUUCUCUCCUCUCUCAUAUAAUAAACUACUUUAUUCUCUUUGUUAUUAUUGUCUAUAUAUUAAUUUUAAUCUUCUUAAACUUAUUUAUUUAUUUAUUUUUAUUUUUUACCUUUUAUUAUCAGAAGUAAUAAUGAUCAUAAAGUUCACACUAUAACAAAUUAUAUGUUAUCUACACACAUAACCUAUUUUGUAUAUUACUUAAAUCAAUACAUCUAGAGUUUUGAAUAAAAUAAUUUUUAAUAAUAACAGUAACAAAUUUAGAUCGUAAUAAUAUACUAGUUAAUCUACUAUAUAUUAAAAAAGUAAAUAAAAAUAUUAGUUACUUUAUUUUUUGGGAUAUACUUUUAAAUCUAAAGUUCUAGUUUGCUUAUAUCAUUUUAAAUAGUUAAAUUGCUAGUAACAUACACAUUUUAAUUAUAAUAGGCAUAUAUCAGUUUUUGCCACUAUACAAUUUUUAUUGAAAUUUGUAAUAGUGUAAAUAAAUAAAAGAAGAAUGAAAUUUUAAGUAAAUUAAAGAUAUUUUACAAUAGUAUAAUUAGCAUACAAAAAUAGUAAUACUAAUAGGAAAGUGAAACAAAAUAGUGACAUGAGAGAAGUGAAAAAAUAGUAAAAAAUGUAAAAGAAAAUGGUGAAAAAGAAAAAACAAGGUAAUGAAUAAACAAAAAAAGAAAUAAAAUAAAAUAGUAAGGGUAGUUUUGCCUUAGUUAAUGAGUUCAAGGGAGAAAAGCAUAACUAAAGGUAAAGUUGAGGAGGGCCUAGUGCUUUUAACCCUAUAUUGUACGAAGAAAGAUAAUUUUAUUGAGAUUUCAGAAGCCAUCCUAAUACGAAAGAAAAAUAUACUCCAGUUAUAUUUUUUUCUUUGUUGAAAUCAUUCAUAUAAAAGAACAAAAAUCUUGAAAAAGUUCAGUUACCUAAAUGAGAAAUUUAGAAAAGUUCUUCUAACCCCUUUUCUCUUGGUAAAAAUAGAAAAUUUGUUGAGAAGGGGAAAACCCCAUAUCCUAUACUAUGCCACUAUCGUCAUAGUGAAAGACAUUUAGACGCCUUGUACAACAGAUCAUCUAUAUAUAUGUAUAUAUAUGAUAUCUCCAAUUUUUAGCGUGGAAACAUCAAACAAGCAAAGAGUGGUACAGUCAUCAAAUCAGAAAGAAAAUCUGCCACUGCUGCCCCCUUGUGUGUUGAGGAAAAUUGGAAUGCUCGCAUCAACCUUUCUUUUCCUUUCUUUCUUGUUUCCUUCCUUCACGGAAAUUUACUAGAGUCCAAGGGACAUGUGGGCUAUUGUGGUUACCUUCCCGCGUCAAUCCUGACCUCGUUAGGCACAAGAUCAACAGUCCCAAGAAUCGUCAAAACCAUUUCCCAUUUUUCUCUGGGAAAAUCGCAUGUAUAAAAACUAGCAUUGGGUCCGUUUGGAUUCUUGUUUUUGGGCCUAUUUUUGAAAAACUGUUUUUCACAAUUCAAAUGCUACAGUAAAUGUGUAUUUCAAAACAACUCCAAAAACACCAAUAUCCAAACAAUAUAUCAAAAACAACUCCAAAUACAUAUUUAAUAUGUUUAUUUCAAUUUAUAUAUUUCAAUUAUGUAUAGGAUAUAUAUAUAUUAUAUUAAUUUAAAUAUAUUUAUUUAUACAUAUUAUAAAUAUUUUACUUUAUAUAAAAUAUAUUUUUAUAUAUUUAUAUAAAUAUUAUAUAUUAUAUAAAUUAUAUAUAUUAUAAAUAUGUUAUUAUACAUUUAUAUAAAUGUUAUAUAUUAUAUAUAUUUAAUAUAUACAUAAUAUAUAUUAUAUAUAUUGAACAUUUAUAUAAAUGUACAUUUUAACAUAAUAUAUAUAUUUAUGUAUAUUUAUAAUAUACAUUUAUAUUAUGUAUUAUAUAUAAUAUAAUACAUUUAUACAUUUAUAUUAAUAUGCAUAAUAUUAAUUACACAUUUAUACAUAAUAUUAAUAAAUGUAUACAUUUAUAUUUAUUACAUUAAUACAUUUAUACAUAGUAUUAAUAUAUAUUUAUAAUAUAUUAAUUUAUACAUUUAUAUAAUAUUCAUUUAUAAUUUAUACACAUUUAUAAUAAUAUACAUUUAUAUAUUUAUAAAUAUAUUUAUAUUAUGUAUUAUAUAUAAUAUAAUACACUUAUAAUACAUUUAUAUAUUUAUUUAUAAAUAUAAUAUAUAAUAAACAAAUAUAAUACACUUAUUUAUUUAUAUAUAAUAUAUAAAUUUAUUUAUAAAUAUAAUAUACUUAUUUAUUUAUACAUAAUAUAUAAAUAUAUUUAUUUAUAAAUAUUUAUAAUUGUAUUAUAAAUGCAUAAAUGUAUAUAAAUAUAAAAACAUAAAAAUUAUAAAUUAUAAAUUAUAAUAUACAUUUAUAUAAUAUUCAUUUAUAAUUUAUACACAUUUAUAAUAAUAUACAUUUAUACAUUUACAAAUAUAUUUAUAUUAUGUAUUAUAUAUAAUAUAAUACACUUAUAAUACAUUUAUAUAUUUAUUUAUAAAUAUAAUAUAUAAUAAAUAAAUAAAUAUAAUACACUUAUUUAUUUAUAUAUAAUAUAUAAAUUUAUUUAUAAAUAUAAUACACUUACUUAUUUAGAAUAAUAAAAAAAUAUAUUUAUUCAUAAAUAUAUAAAUAUAUUUAUUUAUAAAUAUAUAAAUAUAUUUAUUUAUAAAUAUUUAUAAUUGUAUUAUAAAUGCAUAAAUGUAUAUAAAUAUAAAAACAUAAAAAUUAUAAAUUAUAAAUUAUAAUAUACAUUUAUAUAAUAUUCAUUUAUAAUUUAUAUAUUUAUAGUAAUAUACAUUUAAACAUUUAUAAAUAUAUUUAUAUUAUGUAUUAUAUAUAAUAUAAUACAUUUAUAUAUAAAUAUAUGAAUAUAUUUAUUUAUAAAAGUACAAAUAUAUUUAUUUAUAAAUAUUUAAAUAUAUUUAUUUAUAAAUAUUAAUAAAUGUAUUAUAAAUGCAUAAAUGUAUAUAAAUAUAAAAAUAUAAAAAUUAUAAUUUAUAAUUUAUACAUUUAUAUAAUAUUCAUUUAUAAUUUAUGCAUUUAUAAAUAUAUUUAUAUUAUGUAUUAUAUAUAAUAUAAUACAUUUAUAUAUUUUUAUAUAAAUUUAUUUAUUUAUAAAUAUUUAUAAAUGUAUAAUUAUAUAUUGUUAUAAAAAUAUAUAAAUUAUAAAUUAUAAAAAUACUCGAAAAUAUGUUUUAAAAAUACAUCUAAAAAUAAUCCAUAAAACAUCUACAGUAAAAGAUUUUUAUAUAAUUUUUGAAAAACAACCCCAAAAACAACUAAUCCAAACGGACUUGUAUUUGAAAAACGAAAUGCUACAGUGCUGUUUUUGAAAAACAACCCCAAAAACAGCUAAUAUUUCGGAGAAUGUUGGAAUUUUAUUUAUUGAAUUCUAGAGAAGAAGAAAUGGUUGUCCACGGUUGUUGCGUUUUAUGCUUCACUGCUCCUGUACCUUUUUUUUUUCUCACUACUACAGCUUUAACUCGGAAGUUAACUGUCAAGUAGGGAUGUAAUCGAAUCGAGCUGCUCGCGAGCAGCUUCAAGAGUUUGACUCGAACUCGGUCAAAUCGAAUUCGAGUCGAGUUUCGAGCAGCUCGAUAAGGUUAUCGAGUCGAGUUCGAGCAUCUAGAAGUCAUGCUCGAAGACUCGACGAGCCUUAUCGAGUAUUUUAAUUUUAAUUAUUUAAUAUUUUUAAUUUUAAUUAUUUAAUAUUUUAAUUUUAAUUAUUUAAUAUUUAAUAUUUUAAUUUUAAUUAUUAAUAUAUUAUUAUUAUAAAAUUACCCUUAUACCCAAAAGAAUUGUCGAAUUUACGAAAUGUUUCAAGUCAUAUAAAAUUUUUAAAAGGGUAAUAAUGUCUUUUCGCUCAAAAAUUAUAAAAAAAAUGAAAUUUAAUAAUUCGAGCGAGCUCGAUAAGACUCGAAUGGACUCGAGCCCAUACGAGUCGAGCUCGAGUAUUGCGAGCAAGCUUCGAGCUCGAGCUUGAGCUUCAAUAAUACUACUCGCUCGAACUCGAGCACCCCUAUCUGUAUGUCGAGUCGAGCUCGAAUAUCGCGAUACUCGAGCUCGACUCGAUUCGAUUACAGCCCUACUGUCAAGUGUUGUACAGAUAUAUAUGAUCCUUGACUUGAAUUGAGAGAAUUAAAAUCUCUCUUCUGAAUUUCGACUUAAUUGAAAUUAUUUAGGAUCAUCCACCUAAGAAAUGUGUGUUUUUUUUUAAAGAAGUUAAUUUGUACUGAGAAAGUAAAACAAAAGUGCAUGUCAUUUAAACCCCUAAUCAACAGUACCUUGGUUUGUUUGGAUAGUGGGUUAUUUCUAUAAAUAUAUUUGUUUACAUCACCAUUACAAUUUUUAAUACAGUUUUUUAUCUUUUUUGUUACCUUUUUAUCUCACAUACAUCACAUCACAAAAAAUACUACAAUAAAAAUACCUCAAAUAAUUUACAAUCCAAACAAACCUGAAUUCGGGCAGAGAACUAACCGGUAUUGUCAAGUUUGUCAUCAACCGACCAAGCUUAAAUCUCCCAUCAAUUUCGGCCAGAGAUGAAUUGUCAAUUUUUCUAACAUAAUGCCCCUAAUCAUGUCUCGGUCAUAUUUGGCAGUAGUAAAUGUACUUGAAAUAUGGAAUGUGAACUCAACCCGAAUCUAAGGAUCCAUUUGGCAUCCUUUUUCUAGGCAUGUUUUUACUAGAUAACAUUUUUUUCCCAACUUUAACUACAGAAAUUUAUUAAAACACCCUAAGUUUUAUAAAAAACAUAUCGAAAAACAUAUACUCAUUUCCCUCUUCUACUACUAUCCUCCCUUAACUAUCUCUGCUUCUACUACAAUCCCCCUCUUCCUUUCACUUCUUGCCGCCACCUCUACUAUCAUUACCUCCCUUUCCUAUUACCACCCGCCACCCCCUCUCCUCUCCUUUCCCCUUGCCCCUCCCCCCCCCUCCUCAAACUAGAUCUCCUUGAAAGAGCAAAUCUAAUGGAAGGGAGGGGUCUAGGAGGAAGGGAGAGAGAAAAGGAGGGGGAGAGAAGAAGAGGGAGAGGGCGGUAGGUGGUGGUGGGGAAGGGUGUGAUAGGUGCAUUAGAUUUUUUUUGAGGGGGGAAGGGGAGGGAGGAAGAGGGGGGAGAAGAAAGGGAGGCAGUGAUGGGGGGAAGAAAAAGAGGAAGGAAUGGCAGAUAAAGGGAUGAAGAUAGUGACAGUUGCUUGUGAGGAUGGUGGCAAGGGUGGAUGGGGCGUAAUGAAUGACGAAAUUUUAUAAAUAUUUUCCAAACAAUUAAAUACACAAAAUUUUUUAUGAUAAACUAGAGUAAAAUUUUAGACAAAUUUUUUUUUUAAAAAAAAAACAGCAUUCAAAUGGAUGCUAAAUUUCUUUCAUGAAACUUAAUCGUGAUGUGUCUACAUGAUGAGCACAAAAUCUUUCUCAUCGAACAGAGUUGCUUGGCAGCAGAGAUCGAAGUUUCUUUGGCAACUGUGCAACAUAGUGGUUGGAACUAAAAAAUUUAUUCCGAGGAGAUAAAGUUCACCAUAUUUCAAUCUAAAUAUAUAGUGGAAAAUAUGUUCAAGUUUUUGCGGAGUCAAAAGUAUAAAAUUUAAAAGGGUAAUUUUUAAAAAUUUUUAAUUUUCUAAUAUUUAGGAAAUAUGGACCUUUCUAGCGCCUUCUAGUUCCGUCCAUGACCGGGUCAUUGAGAAUGUGUCAUUAAAAUUUAAAAAGGUUUUUUUAAAAGUUUUUAAUUUUCUAAGGGCAAAAAACCUAAUAUUUAGGAAAGAUGGACCUUCCUAGCCCCCUUAGUUCCAUCCAUGACUGGGCCAAUGAGAAUGUGUAAUGCUUUUUAUCUACGGCAACAAGCAUCAGCAAAUCUAACAAGAAAGGAGCUCUACAUUAUCCAGAAGAUGACAGUCAGCUUCUUUUUUUUUUUUGGUGUAAACAGGGUCUUAAAUUUAAAACCUUCUAUUUACAAUUCUUUCUAUCUGAUCAUCUAAUUCAACUCUCUCCUAAAAGCUGGAUUCAAUAAUGUCAGUAUUGAGAUUUUAAUGUCACUAAAAACACCACUGCUUACUAAGUUGGUAGCAUGUACGUUCUCUACAAGAAUUUCAUACAUACUAUCAACUACUCGAAUUUGACUUGAGCAUUGGAGUAAUGGAAUUAAACCCUAGUCAUCUUGAAGUUUUCUUUUGCAGUUUAUCGACCUCAUCUUCUAAGUAUCUAACUAGCUUGGGUUUUCAAUUGGCACACCCUAUGCAUAGUCAUAAAAUUUGUACAUUUCUGGCCUGCUCGAGUCAAGUCUUGCUUCUCGAGUGACCAUACACUUGGUCACCAAAAGCUCCCUUCCAAACAAUUGUCACAAAGUGAAAUAGCUAAUUAAUUACAACUAGAGGUGAAUCUUUAAGACCAUGGAAACCCUAAGAACAUGAGGCAGUGGAUUUAUUCGGGGCAUAAUUAGUCUCGUUUGGAUUGCAUGUUUUUCAAGAAAAAUCAUUGAAAUAUUUCUUUACACAAUUUUCAAUUACCUUCUUUUUUUUUUAAUGUCAAAUAAAAAAUCACAUAACUACAGUAUAUAUUUCUAUAAAACUCCAAUUUCUGGAACUUGCUUGCUGGUUUCUAAAUGCGAAGUAGACCCCAUUAGAAAUUCAAUCAGGGACAUCUUUUGAAAGGAUAUGUUGCAUUCCAAGUGUCCAACCAUCAAUACAGUUAGUAUCUAAACGUUCAGGCCCCGAUCCCAGCAGAAGCACAGCAUGGCACGUGUUGUAAUGAACAUAAAAUUACAUACAUGAAUUCUUUACAUUAAUGAUGCCCGAAAGGGUAUGGUAGUAUAGCACCAAAAACUAUAUCAUAUCGGUGCAUGGGUCCUUGAUCAUGUAAGCAAAGCACAUGAUCCUCUCAAAUUUCUCGUCUUACUGCUGCACUAAUUCUAAAAGCUGAAGUAGCGGAUUCAUCCGUGGGCGGCGUGGUUUCUCUCUGGGUUAUAUGUGUACGCACUCUAGCCCAGAAAAAAUCUAUCUUUAUUUUAGACUUCUUUACAGCUUUAAUGAACCACCGAUUAUGUCUUUAGAUUUAUACGUUAGUAUUCACCCUAGACUCUCAUGGUCUUAUUUUACAACUCUUGACUGAAUCCAACAAAGUAACAUCGAAUAUUACUGGAGGAUGCUUUGUGUAUGGUGUCGUCCCUAGAGCCUUCGAUAGCUCCAGCCAUCCUAAACAGUGCAGAAUGAUUUGUCAAAACUCUAUAGAUUCUUUUUUUUUUUUUUUGCAAAUAUCUGUGCAAAUAUAUAUAUAUAUAUAUAUGUCCACAUGGUUCAUCACACAACUUUUUGCUAUUCAAAUCAAGGGUCACGUCGGUUGUUUCUAGCUAUUGAUUUAUUGAUACAUAAAUCCAUUAAUCUAUAUCCCUUGUGAUGUACACUAAUCCCCAUGAUAGAAGUACUUGCGAUCGGAAUGCCGACAUGGACUGAGAUGCUUUCCAAUUCAAAGUUGGGUCCGGAAAUAAUCACGUGCCCCUGUUUCUGAGAGAGAGAGAGAGAGAGAUGAGGCCUAAAAGGAAGGAAGACUUGGAAGAAUAAGAGCCAAAUGAUAUAGGUAGGAUUCUGCUUAAAGCACUUGCAAUGGUGAUAUUGUUAUGGACCAGGAGAAAUAUGCACCAAUUAAAUGGUAGAUGGCUUGAUUAACUGUGUUGGAUAUGUCUUCCAUCUCUCAAUCUUUCACUCUCAGCUACAGAGCUUUUUAGCAACAACAUGUAGUAUAUCAAUUCAACUUCUUAAACGAUUUAAAAAAGCCAAUAUGUGUUCUGCGGCAGACCACCCUUCCAUUGCGCUGCGGUUGCUGCAUCAGAAAUGUGGCCCAAAUGGUGUGUAUACUGUUCAGUUCUGGUGGCCUCAUUCAUAUUUUGGAGAAAUUCAUAAAGGCAGUUUGAUCUCGCAGUCAGAUAAGUCUAGAAAUGUUGAAUUUUCUUUAAUGGGGGUACUAUUUAUAGAUUCUGAAGUCUUCCAAAGAAAAAAGGGUUUUAUUGGGGGGAAUUCUAUGCUUUUCUUUUUCUCUGAUUGAAUCCUUAGCCGCGUGUUCUUUUCAUGAGCAUAAAUUCUCCAUUUUAUCUUGUCAAUUGAAUUCAACACCAUUAAUGAUUGAUGAAUGACCCUCCUCAUCAAUUUUCCCUAUAAAAGUCUCCACCCUCCAAUCUUUCUGGACUGUGCACUUAGACAUAAGAAAGUACCCCCACUACCUCCACUUCUACUUCUCAAAAUGCCCAUGUUCUCUUCUUGAGCCGUCUCUCACGUACGUCACAACUCAUUAGUCAUUUUUACAUAUGAAUUUUAUCCUCCAUGUAUCUCUUAUUCUUAUUUUUGGUCUGAUUCUAGUCCAGCGACAGCUUUAUUUGUUGAGGGAUCUUAGUCUUUCUAUACAUUUUUUUUUUCGUUUUUCUUUCGGCCUUUCAAGAAAAUAAUGGAGGCCCUCUUUUUGCAUUUGCCAUGCAAGGAACAACGAGGCAACAUAUAGACUAGUCUCUCAAGUCUUCCAGUUAUUUUGAGUUAAAUUUCUCCCUUAAAAUGCAGGACCAAUACAGUCGGGCAAAGCUCAACGCCUAGUGAUCCUCGGGGGAACUGGAAAGCAGUAGCCUAGCCUAGUCUCCUGAGACAUGAACCGGGUAAGGCAAAGGACGUUGAACCAUAUUGUACUUUUUUUUGAGCUUUUAUCACCAUCAACCAUGCAAUACCUAAUUUAUGUGGGUACUACCUAUGUAGGUAUUUAGUAUUUUUUUUUGGAUAGAAUAAAGUUUGUGUGAAUUCGACUCCGAUCACUGCUACAGUAAAUGCAACUCAAAUCCAAAUAUUCUACCUUUUUUUUUCAUCUAACAUGCUGUUAACUUAAGAUUAUAGCAAAUAAAAAAUUUCCUAGAUAUUAUGCUCCUGUACACUUUUUCUACUACUGAGUAAUAAACAAGCUCGUGUGGGUUGUGUAGAGGUUAAAACUGGGUCGUUGUUCUGACUGUUCUCUUAGGUCAAUGGACCACCAACCUUUUCGUUUCUUUGUGUAUUUUUAAUUUCGUAUAAAUGAAUGUUAGUGUAGUAGCCUUUCUUUUUCAAGAAUACGUGUGGUACUAUUAUUUUCUUUAUAUUCGGCCAAAAGGAAUUCUUUGGCCAAUCCAAGCACUGUAAAAGGGAGUUAGGUGCCUUGUGUCUCUAUGCAAAGUCUGCUGUUCUUAAAGUUCACAAAAACACGAGAGCAAUAAACUGGCAUCGGAUAGUUCCGAAUGCCUAAGGAAGCCAUAGUUCUUGGGGAGUUGUGAAUCCUAAGUUUCAAGGCGAUGCUUCUUCCCUUUUGGCCCUUUACCUAAGAAUUUUCACUUUACCUAGGCCUAGAACGACUCAAUUCUUGUCCCAUUAGAAAGCAUGAUCUGAAAGCACCACCAUGUCUGCAUGUCCCAUGAGCAAGUGGGAAUAAUACGAGAGAAUUCAGCAUCCUAGUGAAACAGAGAACAUUUGGCUUUUGCCUCAUAAAACCACAUAUUUAAGUAAUAAUAAAAAAAGAAUGCAGAUGCAAACAAGAAAAAAAAUUUAAAAAAAAAAAAUCUUAAUCUGUACAAGAUUCAUGUAGCCGCUUUAAUUUGGUCGCAUAAUCUUGUCGUGGUGUAUAGCUAGAGCUCAAGCUAAAGUUAAUCAAUAAUACUAAUAAUAAUUCAAGAUGCAUGUUUCUUGGGAAUUAAGACGCGAACGCCUAGAAUUAAUUGUUGAGCCUGAAUCGGAACAAAUUAAUCCCUACAAACCAGACAAAUAGGCUGAAAAGGUGACAAAUGGGGUCGUAAUCCGGAUAGCUCGGAUGCUUCAAUUUGGCAAAUUCAAAUAGCAGGCAAGUAAGGAGAUCGAAGUGAUUAUAUGAAUUGGCAAGUAGUUAUGAGUUACCCGAUUUGAUACCCAGCAUCGGGUGCUCAUAUGCAGGUGAGAGGUGGGAGGCUGGCAGCCUUUGUAGAAAAGGACAAUGUUGGCCUGAAUGUGCAAGUCACCUUGCCAUUUAGCAGGAUGUUAUUGAAAAUCCACCUUAAUCCAAAUAAAAACUUACCCAAUGUCGUUUGAGAAAAAGUGACCCUUUUGUAAAAUACUCUACUUUAAAUCUUUAUGGCUCCCGACCUUUAGAUAAUCAUCAAAUUUUCUCUUUGUUUUCCAUCAAACCCAUUCAUAGACUUGAGAUAGGGAAAAAUGCAGUUUCAGUCCUCAAUAUUUAGUACUUGGCAGUCACCAGUUGGUUCUCAACGUAUUCAAUUUAAAGCAGAUUUAGGAAAUUUUUUUUCCCUAAUUAUUGAUAAAAUUUAGUCAUAUGUAAUCAUGUGCACAUUAAAUUGAAUUUAUACGUAAGCAAAAUAGCAGCUAAGUAGCAAACUAAAACUACAUUUCUCUUAUUGGGACAAGCAUAUAGCCAAAUUGCUCGUCCGCUUUCCUACUUCAAAAUCUAGUACGGAUUAAGAUAGGGUUUCAGGCUUUGGGACCUUCGGGCCUCCUGUCCCUCAGUUCUACUUAAGAACAAGGAUCUUAUCCAAAAGGGGCAGACAUCCCCGGUCGACACCCCUCCACCUUAACACAGAAACUACAUACGUCAACCUUUGUCCCCAAAGUCUCCAAACCAAAAAUGGCCAAUAGAGUGGCUAACGUUUUCAUCGACGACGAACUAAGAAGAAACAUGGCAAAAAUGGAUUUUUCAUCCAGUACUUCCUGUCUUCUACUCGUCCUUAGCUCACUAAUCGACAAAAAUUCUUGUCCUAGGCUGAGCUAAUCUUGAGCUGUGCAUUUCCCAAAUUACUUUUUUUUUUUUUUUCCUUUUAACCUGUAAUUAAUGUGCUGAACUGGCCUCUUCCCCCUCUACUAUUUCACCUUCUUUCUUUUUACAUAGCAUCAUCUACUCUCCUGGUCGAGUUCUCACGUCAACCCUUAGCAUGGUAAACUUCUUUUGUAGGGUUAAAAUAUUCUCCAUAAAAGGAGCAAACGAGGAAGAGUUUCUCUGACAUUUGGAUCAUGGAAGGUUCGCACGAUCCACCAUUCCAAGAGCAGUACAAUAGCUUGUUCAACAAAUCACCAGAUACAGGUCCCAAGUAUGCUAACGACUACGACCUUUUCAUCGUACAAGAGUGCGAGCUUCCGCUGAUCGAUCUUGCUCAGCUAAACUCGGGCGAGCUUGCCAGGGAGAGGUGCAAGAAGGAUAUAGCUAGAGCAUCCCAAGAAUGGGGUUUCUUCCAAGUAUUGAAUCAUGGGAUUUCUCGUGAAAUAUUGGACAAAAUGAGAUCAGAGCAAAUCAAGGCUUUCAAGAAACCAUUUCAUGAGAAGAUGAACGAAAGUGGUUUCGGCCUCUUGGCCGGCAGUUACCGUUGGGGGACGCCUUCAGCUACUUGCCUGAAGCAGUUGGCUUGGUCGGAAGCUUUUCACGUACCUCUCAAUGCUAUCUCAGGUUUAGGUGGUCGCAGUAGUCUCAGGUAAAUAUUUUACCCCUUAAUUUUAUGACUUUCGUGCUUCUUCUUCUUCUUCUUUUUUUUUUUUUUCCUCCAAUUAAUUUUUGGUGUGUUUUCUCUUAUUAUGAAAUUUGCUUACACAGAUAUGAUGACUAGAUACAACUAGUGAUACACCUAAAACACAUUUAGAUUUUGAAGCUAAAAUCUUGUGCAUAUUUUAGGUAGUACAAAGAGGAGCAUACCUGUAUUGGCAGCAGAGAAAUAACUGGCCGUUAAUAGUGUCUUAAUUAUUAGAAGUAAGUGUUGGAAGCACAAUUAGUAGUCUGGGUAGUACAUUUGUACCCAAAAAUAUUUGCAGGUAGUACAUGGCAGUGCUGCAGGCCCAAUAAACAAGAGUAGAGCGACAGGCACCACUAAUUUUAUUGGAUCAACGGUGGAAAUGUAUUAUCCGCCAACUCAGCGCCACUUGGCACAUGAUAUUUUAGUACAAUAAGAAGUCUAUUAAUCACUACUAGAAGUCAAUCAAUAAUUAGUUCAUUUGAAUAUGACUUUUAUUAUUUUACCUGAUUUUGGGAGGAACUAAACCCAUGUCUUAUACUGUGGUUAACCAAACUUGUAGAAGAUGUGCAUUAAAAAUGUUGGGCUGUCUUUUUCUUUUUUUUUUUUGGUUAAAGUCUCUCCCAAAGUAUUACUUGUUACUUUCUUGCAAAGAAAAAAUAUCAACACUAUAGACGACAUUACAGAGCUGUUAUCGAUGGCAUUUGAUGGUAUCCUAAAAUAAAUUGAUCUCUUAAUCUCAUUUUAAUUUUAUUUUUAAAUCGAUUUGUUUGGAUUGUAAUUUUUUUUUCCUUUAAAGAAAAUUUACACUUUUUUAAAUAUAUUUUUUUAUCUCCCAUACAUUAAAUCGAUGCAGUAUAUUCAUAACGUCAGUCAGUAUCCCGAUUUGUGGAGGGCUUAUCUGUGAUGCAAUUAUGUUCAUUUUGAAAAAAUCAAAAAAUGAGGCGGGUGAUAAUUGGGGAAAGCCAGCAAUUAUUCUUGAAGAAUGUAUGAAUCAAAACUAUGUGCUACGUGCUGUCAAGUCUAUGGUUGAUAAGCUUUUAGUUUGUCAACCAAGUCAUCCACAACAUCAGUCGUUGAUGUGAUGCUUUCAUUCAUUUUGAUUUUGGUGAGUGGUAAAGGCGUCCCAACUGGCUAACCAUCAUUGGAUAUUUGGAUUACAGGGUCGAAGUGCAACAUUUGCUUGGAAGAAAAUACUCGUUUUGAUGAUCUUAAGAAAGAAACCGAUUUCUGCAUGUAAAUUUUACAGGAGAAAAGAUCAAGUUGUUAGGCUUGCGAAGUAUUGAUGUUAGGCUUACGUUUUGUUUUUUUUUUUUUUUUUUUAAAAAAAAAAAGUAGUGUUUCCAUGCUUAAUUUUAACACCAAAAAAAAAAAAAAUUUUUUUUGGAGGGGGGUAUACUGUCACUUUGACAAAGUAAAGGAAUGGAGCUAGCCUUUUCAUAAUUAAUCAUUUGCAAGAAAAUCGAAUUCUUAGACCCCCCCCCCCCACCAAACAGCGGUGGUGAAAGGAUUGGUUCCUUGCUCUCCCUAGUCACGCUUGUACUUGUAGAGGGAGAUUAGGUCACUAUUAGGGUAUUCUUAAGAAUUUAAGAUUGUCGGCAGCGGAAAGCAAGCGAAGGUUUUGCUUCUGAAAAAUAUAUUUUCAUUCUAUUAUAUGAGGUGAAACUAAAACUUUUCUUUAGAACAAGCUAUUCUUUUUCUUUCUUCUUCUUUUUUUUUUUUAAUAUUGUUAUAAUAAUAUUUACUUCCACUCUUACUCGUAUACUAAUUUGUUUUUUUAAAAAAAAAAUUCUAGAAAUGUGUAAUUCUUCAAAUAUAAAAUGUGCCAAAGUUCUAUACCAAGCCCACAUAAUCUUAAAUUCUAGCCUAAAAUAAUAGAAAAGAAAAGACUUACAUGUAAUUAUGUUUAAUGGAUAAAUGUUUGCCGCCAAAAGAAAAACAUUUAUUUGCCGAACCCUUGUCAGCUAUAUAGUAUAGGUGGAUCGGAAUCUUGAGGAGAUUCCACUUAUUGUCUGAAGACCACACAACAUUGUACUCACCUCUUCUCCCCGUGUCUCUACUGAUUGCCGAUAAUAGGUCUCUGUAUUGAUGUCAUUCCACACUACACCUUCCCAAGUGGGAUACCCUUUUUUUUUUUUUUUUUUGCUAUUAGUAUUUCCUUUUUAAAAGCCCAAUUAAUGAAUUCGAAAAAUAAUACUCUAUUAAAAGGAAUGACAUUAUUGAAUUUUUUGGUUCUUUUUUUUUUUUUUCUCCUUAUAAGCCUACGUUAUUAUAUCUUUAAAGACAACAACAAAAAAAAUUUGCAAUUUUUGAAAAACAUACAUACGUAUCUGAUAAAUUGAUGACUAAAGAGAACAUCUUCUGAAUUAGAUGCUUUGAAGAUCAAAGGCAAAGUUGGGCAUAUGAGUAAAUAUGUCCCUCCCUUUGUAGCAGCACACGCUGAGACUGAGACAGAAUCAAAUGAAGCAAAUUUCCCUGUGGCCAAAUCUGAGACAGCUUCACUACAUUCUUGACUGUAACUUAUAUUUCAUGCUUCGACGUGCCUUUUCAUUGCAUUGACUGUAAAAAAAAAAAAAAAAAAAAGUCGUCAUAUUAUCAGCCAGGCAACAGAAGUAGUAAAAGGUCAUAAAUCAUCACAUGCAAUGUGCUGGAAGAUGUAGCUAGGUACAGGAACAUAAAAUUUUCUUCCAGCGUCUGUCUGUCCUCGAAACUUGCUACCUACCAAUCUUUAAUUACUACCUACCAAACUUACUAGCUAUUUUUGGGAUUACUUGUGGAGUAUUUCGACCUCCCUACCCUAUUUAUUUUUUUUAAAUUGUCGGAUUGCCCUUCUCUUAUAUAUGUUGGGUACAUUGCAAUAGAAAGUAAGAUAAUAAAUCUUUGAACAUCCCCUGCAUGUAUAAUAUGAUGAUCAUGUACGAAAUUAUUGGCCAAGUCAUAUUCUGGAUUAUACCCUCCCCCCUGCGGCACAUAUGUAUUUACUAUAUAUACAUGUAUAUAUAUGCCUUGUUUAUUUAAUGAAUUCUAAUCUCUCUCAUUUCCACCUUGCAUCAUUAAUUACCUCAGCUCAACAAUGGAAAAAUUUGCCAAAACAAUGUCUGAGCUAGCACAUAAGCUAGCAGAGAUUUUGGCAGAAAAUAUGGGUCAUAAGUCGACAUUCUUCAGGCAAACAUGUUUGCCAAGCACCUGCUAUCUUCGAAUGAAUCGAUAUCCACCGUGUCCCAUAUCUCCUCGAGUGUACGGCUUGAUGCCUCACACCGAUAGCGAUUUCAUCACAGUACUGCACCAAGAUCAGAUUGGAGGAUUGCAAUUAGUGAAGGAUGGCAAGUGGAUUUCUGUUAAACCCAAUCCUGAAGCCUUAAUCAUCAAUAUUGGAGAUUUGUUUCAGGUGUGUGUGUGUGUGUGUGUGUAUAUAGAUAUAGAUAAGUGAAAAAGAAAAAAAAAACUCUGAUUGCUGCAGCACAGGAUCUUUGACAUAUGUUAUGUUGAUUUGAUGGUGCAGGCAUGGAGCAAUGGUGUGUAUAAAAGUGUUGAACACAGGGUUGUGACCAAUAUGCUAAAGGAGAGGUAUUCCAUUGCAUUUUUCUUGUGUCCGUCCUAUGAAACUACAAUCAAGAGCUGCGUGGAUCCUUCAGUUUACAGAAAAUUUAGCUUUAGGGAGUACAGAGAUCAGGUUCAAGAGGACGUCAAAAAGUUCGGUUACAAAGUAGGUCUGACUAGAUUUCUCGUAUGAUUGUAACUACAAAUCUAGUCAAUCCAGUCAUAGAGUACUAUAUUUUUCUUGCUCAAGAAAGCCCAAGAAGAAAAGAAAGUAAAAAGAGGAAAAAAUCCUUAUAAUAUGCAAAGUGUGAGGUAAGGCAUUACUGAGUAAGAAGUCCUUCAUUAUGUGCCUUGUUUGGUAGGUGUUAUGAGGUGGAAUUAAUUUCCUGCCUUCUUCUAUUAAAUGUACAAAGUUUUGCUCAUUAUAUAUCCUUCGAGCAUGUAAUUAAUGCUCUAUAGCCAGGAAAGAAAAAAGGUAGUAUGUACUAGUUUGUUGUCCCUAUAAACAUAUCCUGAUUUCCUUAUGCUAUAUCACCAUGCAUGCAUCAGAGUUUAAUUAAAAAUCUUGAAUUUACGCACAAUACCAAAUGAGAAUCAAGGGAAAAAAAAGAAAAAGAAAACUAGUUUCACAAAUUGAGAUUAAUCCAAAAUAAGGUUAAAUAAGUAGAUCGAUCCCCGCCCUAACUGUCACCAGAAUAAUUCCCCGUACUUUGUGCACUAACACUUAAAAAAUGAUGGAUUCAUAGUUUACAAUCUUAGCCUUGCUCUUAAGACAAGUUCUUUUACUUGUUGAACAGGGACAGGAUUGCCAGUAUCAAUUGUUCAUAACUUGAAAAGGCUACGGCGAAUAAGGUAAACAUAACAAUAUAAUAACGAACGUUUCAACAAGACUACCAAAUUCCAUUGCAUGGGGGAUGUGAGACUCGGGCAAUAAUGUAGUUUAUAAAUCUGGAUCCAUGCUAGUGUUUGGUAAUUGGUAAUUGUGGAUCCACCAUUGCCUCUGGUUGCAUUGGCAUCUGAUUGGAAUAUCUCGGCUGGUUUAAGUGUAAAAACAAAAUUGUUGGAGAUUGGUAAAAUAUCACUUGUCUCUCCUAUUUUUAAUUUUUAUGUAAUAUUUUCAACCCAAUUCAAAAUAUAUGAUUUAAAACUAAUUUUAGGAGAGAAAAAAUAAUUCAUUCCAAAGUGUCCUUUUGUUAUCGUCUCUUAACUGUCAUGACAGACUAACUUAUAGUUCUUUAACAUGUGAAAAUUAGUCCGAUGUGGUUCUUUAAUGAAAAAUUACAAGUUUUUAAUAGGGUUGAAAGAUCCUUUACUCGAUUUUAUUUUGUAAUUUAGAAAAAAUUAAUUAAAAAUUUACAAAAUAUUGAAUAAUUUAUGAAAGAUGUAACAAUCAUCCAAAAUACUUUAAAGAUGAAGAAAAUGACCUUUUUGUACCUUGAAAACACUUUUUUUUCUAAUUUUAUUGGUGAAAGAGUAAUGCUUUGUUUGAAUUGCUAUUUUUUUUUGAAGUUUUUUUUAAUAAAUAAAUAUACUACAACAAUUUUGAUGUUCGUCAAGUAAAAAAGUAAUUAAGAAAUAUUUUCACGAGGUUUGCGGCUUUUCAACAUAAGUAGAUAACGUGCCAACACCAUUCAGCAAUUUUCGUCGUCCUCUCACGUGUUGCGCGCAUGGAUCACCCCAUUUUUUUCGCGCGAUGCGCUUCGUGUGUCCAUUUUUAUUGUUCUUUUUUCUUUCUCGGCUUAGGGUUAGCCGCAUAAAACACAAGAAUCUCUCGGCUGCUUCUUUCCUCUUGCCUUCCUUUUUCCAAGAAGAUUAUACCGCCGCUUCUUCCCUUCUGUUUUUAUGGCUUUCCCUCCUGGCUUCCAUUCGUUGGCUUAGGGUUGUAAGUUUGCAGCUUUCUUGCUCUUAGUUUCAGUGCCACAAGCAAAUUGAAUUAAAAGAAGAAGAUGAAGAUUUGAGAAGCUAGUACUGGAAUCCUCCAGAACGUGUGGUCGGCAUCAUUUCCAUCUCAGGUUUUGGAACUUUGGUUUAGGGCUUUUCUUUGUUUCCCCCAGAUUUAUAACAUGUCUUUGUUUUUUCUGAUUAUUCUCCUUCGCUAUAUUUUUUAUUUUUUUCCCCAGAAAGCUCCCUCAUUCUUCGUUAGUUUUUUUCCCAGAAAACUCCCUCUUGUCUGCCGUGGCAAUGUUGCUCUGCCGCUUAGGCAGAGGUUCUGAACCUUGGUAUAGAAUACUGUUGGGGUAUCUGAUGUAGGUUUCACAUGCUUCCCAUGUGCCCCUGUUUCCCUAUUUUUCUGGUUCUAUUGCUUUUGCUUUCUUCCCACUAACUUCUCUUUCUUUUCCACUGGCAAUGUUGCUCUGCCGCUUAGGCAGAAGGUUUUUUCUUUUAGGUUCCCGAUGAUCGAAAAUAUGUGGUCGUCUUGGGUACAUGCUGUUUACAGUGCAAGGAGCAUCGACUCUCUGCUCUCUCGCUCUCUGGGUUUGAGUGGUUUGAAUCCUGUCCCGGCCGUUGCUGUUUUCCUUCGUUGUAAGCUUUUUUUUUUUUUAACAAUCGCAUCCGUUAUUUGUUUUGCGAAGCUAGCCUGCAUGCUUUCCUCUUUUAAGCCAUUUUUUGUGUUUUAGAUCUGUUGUGAGUUUAGCUGGUUUUAACUGGAAAGGUCUGCUAUGUAGCUUAUGUUCGUCAAUGAUGUGAACCAUCUUCUUGCUCUUUCAAUGCUUUCCUCUUUACUGGUUUGAGAAGUGAUUCUUAAAAUGAAUAUGGGAUUAUGUACUAAAUUUUAGUGAGUCCUAAAACUUUGGUAGUAUAUGCUCUUAUUAGGUACAACAAUGUUCACAAAUGAUAAUGAAAUGGGGAUACUGCCUUAUCUUUGAAUUCUACCUGCACUAUAAGCUCUGAUUUGAAAUGGGGAAAAAUACAUCCAGUUAUCUCUAUCUUUAAUCGGACUUGAAGAUUUUAUUCAUCAAGAAAGAACCCUAACUUGUGCUUUUUCAAACUGAUGUCGUGCAUAGUGCUUGUCCCCUUUGUAGGAAGGUCUUAGUGUAGUGUUUUUUAGCCUUAUUAAACGUAAUUCAAAAAAAAAUUAUCUAUUUAUGUAUAACUGCAAAGUAGCCUACUUAUUGCAACAAAAAAAAGUUCUUCUGUCAUUUGAAACUUUGCUAGCAAGAAGUCCUAUAUUUGUGAUUUGCUAGCCUGUUUGAUUCCAUGUUGUGGCAGAUGGCCAUAUACUGGUACGUCAAGUGUGUUUCUUUUUUGUCUCCUAUUUCUUUUUUGUCUCCUAAAUAGCAAUAUCCUUAUUGUAAUUAUCUGAGCAAUAAUAUUUCCAGUUCAACAUUCCUCUGAUUCAUUGCUUUCAGUGCUUCUCUUCCUCAAACUUUAUCUAUCUUCUCUCCCAUUCCUACCUCUGUAAUUUUCCUGCUUCUGCUUUCGCUCGUCCCCAUCUCAUUGUAUCAAAAGAUUUUGGUAUGUUUCUAUCCAUCUCAUCAUCUUUCCCUCUUCGAUUUGAGUUCUGUUCUCUUCUAUUUGAGUUCUCUUUUGCCUUUUAGAUGGUUACAUGAAUUUUGAUUAUUGUUUGUAUUUUUGUUAUCAAAUCAUUCUGGAAUGCUUAGCUUCCCUCUUUCUUUUCUUUUAAUUUUAUAUUUUUUUCUUUUUCCUCUCAAAUUUCUAGCCAAGCAUAUAUGGCCAAAGAAAGGAAAGCUGGAGAAGAAGUUGCUCUAAAGAAGAUACGCAUGGACACUGAAAAAGAAGGGGUAUUGUUAUUCUACUCAAUUUCUUAUUUUCUUAGCUUGUAACAUUUUAAUUUUCUUAGUGGAUAAAUGGUUAUGCCUGCUCUUUUCAGAACAUUCAUAAUUGAAGCAACCACUAAAUUCAAAAAUUUUUUCUUGUAGUUCCCUAUAACUGCCAUGCAUGAAAUAAAAAUUCCAAGGAAACUGGAUUUGUGCUAUUUUGGGACCUACCCUUUGAUGUGUAGCUUGUGUUCUGAAAAAAACUAUGGUGUAUGCCUUAAAAAAUUUAAACUCUAUUGUACUUUAUUGCUCUUUUCCUUUUUGUGUUUUGGGCUAGAGUUGUUAUGUUGCUGUUUAUACUAACCACUACAGUUAGGGAUCUGCUUCAUGAGAGAAGUGUGGGAUUAUGUAUUACUUUUUGGUUUUCUAUGUCUAAAGAAUAUGUAUUGAUUACCCUAUGUAGUUAGGCUAGCACAUCUAAUUGCCCUAUCUCUUCUUUUUUUUUUUUUAGAGAUCGAAGUUUUAGAAUAUACUUGCUCUGCUUACCAUUCCAUUCCUGCCAAACCCCCUUUGCAGGUCCCUAAAUCUGGGAUGAAUUGAAUUUUAUUUAGUCGCACCUUACCUUUAAUUUAGCUGUCACAAACAUAUCUCAACUCUCUACUCCCGACCAUUUUUAGUCAACGAUGGAAAUAAUGUAGUACAUUGCUAUUAUAUGCUUAAAAGUUGCUUAGUAAUAUGAUUGCUUGCACAUGUGAAUCAGUAUUUUCAUUCUGCUACUUCAAUAUCACUUGAAACGGCACCUUUUAUUUGCUUGCAAAACUAAAGAUACUUUUAUAUUGCAGCUACAGAUCUUGUUACUCGAUCCAUUAGAGUAAUGAUGGAUUCAGGGUGUGAAGAGGUAUGUCACUGGUCCUGCCGCAUUUGGAAUUUGUUUUUCAUUUUUUUGCCUUUGCUAAUGCAUUAUGGCUUUCUACUCUUCUUUGCAGUGCAAGGGAAAUUGUAUUGUUGGAAACUAAAAACAAAAGGGAAAUGUAGGGAAUAUUACUGGGAGAUGACUUUAGUAGUGGAAAACUAUCAGCUUCAAUUUAAGGGUUCUCACUAAAUUCUACCCGAGCAAGUACAAAGCUCGUAGUGUCAGGAAUGUAUUAAUCCCGUGAUCCACCUUUUGGCUUCUUAGGAGCGGAAGGGGGUGAUUUUUAGCUACAUGGUGCUUGUCAAUCAUCCCACUUGUCAAACCUUUAUUAUUUGACCGAGGCUAGAAUAGUUGGGCCUUGUGGUAACCUUUUAUACUGCAAUCAAAGAAUCGUAACCAUACUCCACCCUCUCUUUUAUUAAUAUACCCUUUUUUUGUUACUGCAUGUGACAGGUGCCGAACCUGUAUAAUAAUAAAUACCUACUCGAAAAAAAUACAGAUUUUGUAUAUAGCGGUGAGCAGGUUCGAAUCCACAGGGAUUGGGGAUAAUUCGUUUCUUCUAGAGUUCAAAGUAUGGGGGGUUUUGGAUUAAAUGCUAACUAAACAAAUUAACUGCAGAAAAUAAUUAAUUAAAAGAAAUGAUUGGGGAAACUCUAGCCAAGGAUACACAUCAGAAAUGGUUCAUGCACUGAUCAUUGAUGCAGAAAUAACUCCAACAUUUAGUAAUAGAUUAGUUAUAGUUGUCAUGCACGCGAUAAACAACCAACCCUUCCUUAAUUUCUCGAUAGCUAAGGUACGACCGUUAGCUAUUUCUCUAACCCAAAAAUAACCCUAGGUACGACCGUAGGAUUUAAUUUCUAAAUUGCAUUAAUAAUUAGAAAGGCUCAAUCCUAACCAACAAACACGCUACGAGGGUUUGUUUAAAUUAGAUCAUAUGCUCCCCUGACAUAAACCCAAUUAUGCCAGUUGCUACUAAGGUAGAGAUAACGAACAAUUACGGAUUCAAUUACCCCUAUUUAGCAAAAAUAGCCUAUAUGAAUAAUUAAUUAUUGCGCACUAAUCAAUCAUACACAAGGCCAUAGCAAUUAAAAUCAAGGAACAUAUAAAUACCAAUAAAUGAAGAAAAUAGUUAAAACAGAUUCGAUCUCACAGUAGUUGUCGAACCAAAUCGUCAGUUGUCCCCUUGACCAGAAAAGCUUAACCACGCCUCAUGAGAAAAUCUCCCCGUUGGGGAAUAUUGUCGAACACCUGGCGUGUGUCAGAGGCCAGUCCAAGGAAAGAAAGAAAAGAAACUAAAACUAAACUAAAACUAGAGAUCUCCCUGCUACUCUACGUUAUCCCUAUUUAAGCAACAAGAGGAAGAUGACUAAAGGCUAUCUAGGUGGUCCCCACACAUGUGGACAAAGCCCUCCAAGUACUUCUUGUUCCAAGUCUCUUUCCCGUAACUUUCUUUUAAGAACCCAAAUGACUAGAUGCUUUCCACUAGCUUGUGGUCCCCCACCAAUUCAAGGGCCCAAGCAUUGAAGCCCUUAGGAGUCUCCAUAUUUUCCAUAGAGUCCCUCCUUUUUGGUAGUUUUCUGCUUUAUUCCUGAAAUUAAGUCCAGAUACCAAAUAUGAGUAAAUAUCAGCAAUUAACACAAUAUUUAUCAGGGAAAAAAGGGAAAAUUAAUAAUAAAAUCACUAACAAAUUGUACCCUAUCAAUUCCCCCCACACCUGAAUCAUGCUUGCCCUCAAGCAUGGGGAAAAUUCAACUCAACAAUGGCUAGCUUUCUCAUUAUCAUAGCCAGCUAUGCUUAUACCCAGAAUCAAGAUCUAGUGACUAAGUGUCAAGACAUGUCUCUUCCGGUUAGUUCCUAAAUUCAUAGACCUGUCCAAUUCAUGGCUACUUUGUUUAGGGAAUCCAAAUACUAACUAGCAACAGUCAAUAAUUAAGUCCACUGGCGACCAGAAUCUCAACAAUACGAACCAAGGAUCGGCAGGCUAACAUGAUCAUGAACUCACAUAUUCUCCACAUCUGAUUGUCUCUUUUUUUUUCUUUCUUUUCUGUUUUGUUUCCUUCCUUUUUUUUUUCUUUUUCUUCUCUCUUUUUUUUUUUUUUACACGAAUAAGGCUGAGUCCCAAGUUAUUCAAGUCUUUUGACGUGAACUCUGACAUUUUUAGAUGAAAGAGCCCAGUUACUCAACUUUUCACAGCUCCAGGACCACUUACUCAUAGAUAUCGCCACUUUUUAACGCGAGAGCCGACACUUGUGGUGAAAACUCCCGGUUACUGGGUGGCGACACUAGCGGAGUAUAGCCAUACGUUAUUCACCAAUAAACACCAAAAUAUCAAGUAAUUACUGAUCAUAGCCUGCGUCAUGUCCCAAAUAUGGAGAACUAAGGUAAACAGGAGACCAAACUACAUAACAGUGCCAGCAAAAUAUUUAUAUUGCCUAAACAAGUUAGCCAUAAAUUGCACCACGUCGUUAAACUCAAAGUAUUCACCAAGAAAGCAUGCUUUUACUUGCCACUGUAACUCAACUCAUAGUACAAACCACAACUAACAAGAAAAAGUGAGCUGCCAAAAAUAUUCACCAAUAUAGAAGUAAGGGAAAAUCACCCAAAAGGGAUAAAGGAGCAACACCUAAAACAGAAAAUAUUUAAACUAAAAACAUAGGAAAAACACCCCAAAAACGAAAAACUGGAAACAUGUAGCACCCAAACUGACUCCCCCACACCUAAGUCACACAUUGCCCUCAGUGUGAAAAUGGAAAAGCAGAAAAAGGAGAAGGGCAACGGUACUUCCCUGUAGUCGUCAGAACAUGGGAGGGUUAGGCGGAAACUGAGGAGCGAACCCGGCUUGCUGCAUAAAUGCCGCUAUAUUCUGUGCCAUGCCGGCGACAUUGGUGUCAACAUUGACUAUCCGAGCCUCCAAAGCUUGCGUUUCUGAAGCCUUUAUUGGGACACAGAAAACGCGAUUGAAAACGUGCCUCCAACUCGCGUUUUCUAAGUCGCGUUUCCUGCACAAAACUCGCAGGAAUUAAAACGCGAUUGAAAACGCGCCUCCAACUCGCGUUUUCUAAGUCGCGUUUCCUGCACAAAACUUGCAAGAAUGGAAACGCGACUGUGCAGGUAAACGCGACUUCGAGUCGCGUUUUUUUUUUUUUUUUGAAUCUUGACCCCUUCCUGCACUUCAUCACGCGGCCGCGUCAAGAGGAAAUGCCACCUACAUAACAGCAAAAACGAAAAUUAACACCCAAAAUCAGUCAAAUUCAAGGAAAAUAGAUUUAAACUAAGACACGAAAUCAAAUAAACAAUUAAAAGAAACAAUUGGGUUGCCUCCCAAUGAGCGCCUUUCUUUAAUAUCUUUGGCUAGACAUUAUCAUGUUUUGUUCAUGGAGGAUAAAAUCUUGUGGCUCGUCUCAUUGCUUCAUCCUCUACAUAGUCCUGAUAGCUCUCAUAGAUGGAGUAAUCUUUGAGCACACGAGCUACGGUCUUCCAUGAACUAGUUGAUGGCGCCAAGUAAUCAAGCAUUGAUCGCAAUUCUUCAUCCACUCCUCCAUCAAGAGCCUUCGACGGUUCAAGAUAUUUGACUAUAGCUACUCUUAACUCAUUCCUGCCAUGAGACUCAAGAACUUCCGGUAUAACAAAAUCAAUCUCAUUAACAGAAAUCAUGGAGUAAGAAUUAAGAAAAUGCGGGUUAGGGAAUGGAGGUGGUGUCACCACAUUUGAUGAUUCUUCACUGGAUUCUUUCACUUGAAUGGGUUGCGGUUGGGGUUUCAUUUCUUCAUUUUCAGCUUCUUUUUCAACUGCAUCUGUACAUCUCUCUUCUUGAAAAUCUUGCAGCUCCUCAUCACUAGUCAGGCAAAUUGCACUCUCAUUUUCUUCAAAAUCAACAAUGGUUUUUGAGGGCAAUUCUUCAAUUUGAGAAGCCACCAAUCGAUUUAUUCUGGAUGUCAAUAGACAUAUUUGAUCUUCCAGAUUACUCAUUGCAUCCUUCAUCAUCUCAUUUCUCAUUCGUGUCUCCUGUUGGAAUUUAUACGUAUUAGUAGCUAUUGAUUCAACCAUUUCUUCAAGAGACAUACCUGACAUAGACGAUGAUUCUGGAGACUCAUACUGCUGAAAAUUCACUGGCCCUGUUGUAUAAUUAUAGCUGGAGUUAUCCCACCAUCCUUGAUCAUACCCGUUUGGAUUAGGGUUAUACCACGUUUGAGACCAGGGUGAAAAAUCUCCAUAAUUAUUAAGUGGGACACUCAGAUUAUCUUGAUAUUCGGGGCACAUACCGGUUGAAUGAUCCCUGGCAUAACAAAUUUUACAGGUUGCAGCAGCCAUUCUUUCUCUAAUAGAAUUUAGUGCCUCUGAAUAUGCAAACUUAGCGAAAAAACUAGUCUCAUCGCCUUCCCCGGAAACAAAAUCCAUUAUAUCACCAAAAUACGGAGUGUUAGAAGCCAUAAACUAUAUAAAAAAAAUAAGAGAAAAAUAAAUAAGAAAAAUAAGAAAAAGAUGAACUCAAAAAGAAACAAAUUAACCUGGCACCAGUCCCCGGCAACGGCGCCAAAAAUUGACAGGUGCCGAACCUGUACAAUAAUAAAUACCUACUCGAGAAAAAUACAGAUUUUGUAUAUAGCGGUGAGCAGGGUCGAAUCUACAGGGACUGGGGAUAAUUCGUUUCUUCUAGAGUUCAAAGUAUGGGGGGUUUUGGAUUAAAUGCUAACUAAACAAAUUAACUGCAGAAAAUAAUUAAUUAAAAGAAAUGAUUGGGGAAACUCUAGCCAAGGAUACACAUCAGAAAUGGUUCAUGCACUGAUCAUUGAUGCAGAAAUAACUCCAACAUUUAGCAAUAGAUUAGUUAUAGUUGUCAUGCACGCGAUAAACAACCAACCCUUCCUUAAUUUCUCGAUAGCUAAGGUACGACCGUUAGCUAUUUCUCUAACCCAAAAAUAACCCUAGGUACGACCGUAGGAUUUAAUUUCUAGAUUGCAUUAAUAAUUAGAAAGGCCCAAUCCUAACCAACAAACACGCUACGAGGGUUUGUUUAAAUUAGAUCAUAUGCUCCCCUGACAUAAACCCAAUUAUGCCAGUUGCUACCAAGGUAGAGAUAACGAACAAUUACGGAUUCAAUUACCCCUAUUUAGCAAAAAUAGCCUAUAUGAAUAAUUAAUUAUUGCGCACUAAUCAAUCAUACACAAGGCCAUAGCAAUUAAAAUCAAGGAACAUAUAAAUACCAAUAAAUGAAGAAAAUAGUUAAAACAGAUUCGAUCUCACAGUAGUUGUCGAACCAAAUCGUCAGUUGUCCCCUUGACCAGAAAAGCUUAACCACGCCUCAUGAGAAAAUCUCCCCGUUGGGAAAUAUUGUCGAACACCUGGCGUGUGUCAGAGGCCAGUCCAAGGAAAGAAAGAAAAGAAACUAAAACUAAACUAAAACUAGAGAUCUCCCUGCUACUCUACGUUAUCCCUAUUUAAGCAACAAGAGGAAGAUGGCUAAAGGCUAUCUAGGUGGUCCCCACACAUGUGGACAAAGCCCUCCAAGUACUUCUUGUUCCAAGUCUCUUUCCCGUAACUUUCUUUUAAGAGCCCAAAUGACUAGAUGCUUUCCACUAGCUUGUGGUCCCCCACCAAUUCAAGGGCCCAAGCAUUGAAGCCCUUAGGAGUCUCCAUAUUUUCCAUAGAGUCCCUCCUUUUUGGUAGUUUUCUACUUUAUUCCUGAAAUUAAGUCCAGAUACCAAAUAUGAGUAAAUAUCAGCAAUUAACACAAUAUUUAUCAGGGGAAAAAGGGGAAAUUAAUAAUAAAAUCACUAACAAAUUGUACCCUAUCAGCAUGCUUUCCCUCACGUUUGCACAAAUAUACAUAGACACACAUUACACCAGUAGUGCUAAUAGCUCUUUUGGCAACUACUAGCUUUGGAUGGCGUGAGAAAGUUGUCUUAUUUAUUCAAUUGUUGAGCUUAUCCCAAAUAUAUAUAUAUAUAUAUAUAUAUAUAUAGAGAGAGAGAACUGUCAUUGGUUCCCUGAUAUAAUUUUUCUUUUUCUGUUUUUAAAUGGACUAAUUGGUCAUCUAGACAUGGUUGUCAACACUAUUGCAGAUGCAAGCAUCUUUGACAUGUUCCUUUUCUUUGUUGACUUGGAGGUUUCUUUACUUUAUUGACUUGGUUUAGGACAAGUCGAGCAUUAGGUAUAUCUUGAACAGAGGUCAUGCACCAGUUUACAUUAGCAUUUGAUCUGAUAUCAAUGAAAAAAUCUGUUUGCAUUUUGGUUGUUGAUUUUGGCAGAAAAUGGCCAUUAGUAUUUUGGGUGAAAAGAGGAGGAGAGGUUUUUUUUUUUUGGCUAGAAAUUUUUGAGAGUACCGGACAAUGUAACACAAUCACUUUGUAGUUUUAAGUGGUAAUAGCAAAUCCAUUUUGGAUGAGUUUAUAUAGAUGUAAACAAUAAUAGUUUUAUUUAAACCCAAAGUAGUUACUAAAAAGUCUUUUAGACUCCUUGUUGAAACAAAAUUUCUGCUAUUUGCUUAUAUUGUGUGCUUUCUUUUUUAUUUUGUUUUGUUUUGUUUUGUUUUCCAUUGUGUUUGUUUAUAAGCACUUGUUCUUGGUGUUUUCAAGAUAAAGUUCUUGAUGUGGUUGCCAAAUUUAUAGCUACUCAUUUUUCUCAACAACAACUUGAUUUCCCUCAUCUUGCAUUGCCUUUGCCAGAGUAGAUGCAAGCAAAGGGUGAUGACAAGAUGAAAAUUGGAAUAUGAGAGAGAAGACACUCAAUUUAUGUCAAGAUGUAACAGAGUAAGAAUUGUUCUCCAUCUAGAAAAAAUCCAAGGAGAAAAAGAGUACUUGCUCCAUAUAUUCUUGACUGGUUCUUUUUGCCUGCAUGUCUUAUAUUCGUUCUCUUCUUUUGAACUGUCCAUCUGCCUAAUGUGCCACUUUAUCCUCAAUUGUAAGUUGUCCAUUAGUUAUUAAAAAAUAUAUAAUUGAUAUUUUUUCCCUUUCCAUAUAUUCAGAUGAGAGAAGCUAUAAGUGAUGCUGCUCUAACAUUGCCCUACUGGAAUAAUUACAACAAGAUGCAGAAUACAGAUCUGAGGUAUAUCCUCCUAAAUUCUUAAAAUGCCCAUCUCAAUUUUAAGGUUUAUGCACAAGUCUAAGUAAAGUCUAUUUGGAUGAUUUUUUGAAUAUUAAUGUUUGGGCUUUUGGUUUGCUGGGAGUCAGACUUGGAGUGGGUUUCAUGAUAAUGAACUUGUUGGAUUUAGUCAUUGCUUUAUGAAGGCUAAAAAAGUGGUGCGAAAAGGGUAAAGAAGUUUUUUCUAAAUGACAAACUUCUACCUAUUGAUUAGUUAUAUAUUCUUGCAUUUGUCUCCUUUUAAUUCGAGGUUGUUUACUUUAUCUCUUUACCUACUUAACCCCUUAAAGAAAAUGGUGGGUAUUAUUCUUGUUGUCCUUAAUGAAUGAGUCCAAUGUUGCGUUUUAUAAUAAAUGUUGGUUAUUUACUACUUUCUAUUUUAUAGGUGGACAACAAUUACCCAGUGAGUGCACCAUGGUAUGGUCUAUGCUGCAAUAGGAUACACAUUUGGAGCAGGAAUGUUUUAAGAUAGACUGCCUGAGAGGAGGUUCCCCUUAUGGAGCAGGAGUUUUCUUAGGAGACCACACAAGGGAACCCAGUGAAACAAAGCUCACACUGGUGGAGCACCUGGGAAAGUAUAUGGCAUUGAUGGCGAAGAGGUUUGCCCUGCCUCAUUCUUUCACAAAUGAUCACAAAGACAGUAGCUAGCCCCUGCAAAAGCCGUUUUGGUUGUUAUGUUAUUGUAUAUUGUAAUUCCAUUUUUUGCCUUGUAUCUAUACCAAUGGCAUUUUACCUUUGUGAUUUUGGAGGGUGUGAGAGCAUACUCCUUAUGUGUAAAUAGUUGACAAAAUUGGUACUCAUUCCAAAGCUGAUCGGUAUUUGUGCAUUCUUUGUUCACAGGAAGUUCCCAAGUAUGCAAUGUAGAAGACUCCAUGAAAUAAGGACUCGUUGAUUUAUUCCCCAUUUUAGAAUUUCUUUUGCUGUUAUUUUCUUUAAGAGGAAAGGCAUAUAAAAUUUUACUCCUGUUGUUUUAGCUUCAGAAUUUAUCUUUAGUCGGAUUAUGUAAACUAAGACAGUGCACCACAGCAUGGUGAUUACUGAUUUUUAUAUUGUUAGAUGAAAUUUGUAUCCGUCCCUUCAUGAUUUUCCUGCUCUCGGUAUAUUUGAGUUCUCAUAUUUUUCCUGCUCUUGUAUAUUUUAUCUCAUAUGAAUCACGAAGAUUUGGGAUAGGGUCUACUUUCUGCACUUAUAGUUCAAAAAUUAUAUUAAUAUAAAUGUUUUCACUAUUUUGAGAGCAUAAAAAGAUAACAAAAUCUAACUCUGGAUGAUGUUUAUAAGUUUAAGUAGUUGCAUCAUUGGAAAAUUGAUGGAUCUUAUAACUAAAUCAUAAUGCAAUCUAGCCUUGAGAUAGCAAACGUGGAUGGCAAUUUGGACAAAAUUCUCUAAUAUUCUGAUAUUUUGUUGAGAAUAACACUUACUAUUUUUUACAUGAUUACAUACUUAGGAGGCUUGAGCUUUUAUUGAUCAAGGAUGUAGCCAUCCUCAAUAGUUAACUUCCGCUGGCUUAGGGGUGCCCUCGUUAUAUUAAAGUUUGCUCUAAUUUUGAUUUAUCUGUACCAUUAAUUGAUCUAUUUUGGAUUAAGUACAAAUCAUUUUACUGGACUGGGCAUCUCCAUCUAUUUUUCCCACCGUGCGUAGCACGGUUUAUACCUCAUAGUUUAAAGAAUGUAUAUAAACUGGGAAGAGGGUGCCAAAGCAUGGUCGUCCUCCAUGUCUUGCUCACGUGCGGGUUGUGAAAGUGGCCCAUGAGCUGGAAAUUUCUGCAUCUUUUGUUCUUGGAACCACAAAAGGCAUCAAAUGUCUUUUGUCCUUGGAACCCAACAGUAUUUAUUGCGUCCUUGCUAGCAACCUUAUAAGAAAGGCAACGUGCUUUUUAUUGAGCUGUUAAAAUCGGGAUGGUGAUGAUUAGCUUUCUAUUAAAAGCAGAUAAUAGGAUGCUAGAACCUGAAUGACUUAUCGGCACUUGCUUCCUAUUUGAGCAAAUUUCAGCUUGAAUUACCCCUGCUGUGGGAUCAAUUAGUUAUAAAUUAUUAGUUAAAUAAUUAGUGUCCAAUAGGAACAUUGAAUUUUGACUUAAUUACUAACACUGCCCAAUAAUAAAUAUAUAUCUUCGAGUAGACGGACUGCUAUACAUUCGUUCGCUAUGCUGGCCUCAAGCGUCUUAAUGGUUCCUCGGAUUUGAAACGCGCAGGCACUCUUUGCGGCUUUUCAUGAAGCUUCUCGGCCCAGCUUUUCAUGAAUGAAGGUUGGAAAAUAGUUUUUUAGUCAUUCUUCAUGCAGACGUCUGGACUUAUAUUCCUCUCCUGCAGCUUAUUUUGCACCUGCUGCUCAGCCUUCGGCCCUUCGUUGGUUUUGUUGCAUUUUUUGGGCUCUUACUAUUACCAUCGAUAUACUCCUUGUUGCUAUUAGCUAGAAGAGGUGUUCAUUCUGUUUCUACUUUAGAGUUCUUUUUUUAUUAGAUUUUAUUUCUUGUUUCAUGCCUAUCCAGGUUCUAACCUUAAUGAGGCUGUUAUUCUAUCAAUAUGCAUUCAAUUUGACUUGUUUACUGAUUAACAUUUUUCGUUAGUAAGAUUAGUACCUGUCACUAUAUUGCUUUUCCAUGGUGAGUGCUGUUUAGAUAGUUUACGUUAGUCGGUUGUCAACUGCUUAGCUGGUUAUGUAGUGUGCGUUGCCUUUGUUAGCUCAUUACUUGUUUUUUUUCUCUCUCUUUGGCACCAUCGUUUUAUAUGCUGAUGUUUUUUAAGUUACUGCUAUUCCUCCUAUCUGUAUGUGUUUAGUUUUAUAUUUUGUUUGCUCAUUGCAUAUGUCAUUGUUCCUAGGACUAUUCUUUGUUAUUUCUUUCUGCUGGGUUUCGCUUCUUAGAGAAAAUGUCAUGUUUUUUGUUCGCUGAAACUCGCUUUUAUAGAUGAGUCACUGUUAUCUUGUAUUAUUUAUGCCAUUUGCUGCGAGUUGAGUUGUGAAAACAUAUCCUAGACAAAGUUACUUUGCCGAGCCUACCAAAAUUAUUCUAAAUGGUCAUGGACUAGCAUCUUUACCAGGUUCUGUAUCCAAGCACCAAAUAUUUCUGAGGCUCUCACUGGAUUGACUGGCGUUUCAACGCUAUCUGCUAAUACAGGUAAGACUGUUUCUUUUCUUUUUCGCUGCCAUUUAAGUGGUGGCUUCUUUCGUCUUGUCAAGUUGGUCACUGUCAGUCGUCUUUCUAUCACUGCUUAUGGCCUGCUUCUUUUACUUUCUUGUGCUUGCUUAAUUUAUGGUUUCACCUAAUUGUUGUUACAGCUAAUGUCCGAUGCUUCAAUUUUCUACAAGGUAAAUGUAAAAAUGGUAGUAGAAGAACUCUUUCUCGGUUGGAUAGGAUUGCAGAAAAAGUUUUGGCCCUGCCUUAUACUCUGCCCUAUCAGUAUUGCGGAGCUCAGCAAUUCCAUAUGGAACCUCCUAAUUUUUGCUUUCGGGAGGAAGAGUUAGCCUUGUGAGCUCAUCGAUGCCUUAUGAUCUUCGGCGCUUGUUCACUGGAGAAGAUGAGGAGUGUGAACACUUCAGGAAAAAUGUUCGCACUUACAAUAAUAACGUCGCUUUUACGUCAUUGAGUGCAAAGUAUGAUAGAGAACUAACUAAAAACAGGAAUGGCCUUUAUACAUUUUGUGCCCAGGGCCAGGUCUAUCAUUAUCUUGGUGUGCAGUCGCGCGAUGGUAAAGCUUCUGGUAUUCAGUUAUACUUCUUUGAUACCCUUGAAGAGCUUGCCAGGAGAGUUGAUGGAUCGCCCAAGUUAAGAGAAACUACUUUCAGGCUGCUUCUGCGUAUCCUUGUAGACAACCCUUAUGCCAAAUUCUUUAAAGAUCUCUGAAGUGUGUCAAAUCUUGAUGACCAUAGGGUCGUCCUCAACUGCAAUGUGAGUUUGGAUCAUCGUGUAUAUAACCUCCCAACCGCUUCAUAGGUUGCAGCGAUAUGGACUGGAGAUGGUGAUCAAUCGACUAAAGCUUCUGCUCAUAUUCAGGUGUAUAGUUACUCGGAUACAAGCCAUAAGAUCAAUUAUUUUUAUUCUUGCUAUGACUCUCUGCAGUAUCCUUUGUUGUUUCCUCGCAGCGAAUGUGGAUAGCAUCCUGGUAUCCAGCGGGUUUAGGUGAAAAAUAAAAAACGAAAGGAUCCUACCUCUGAGAAAUAUGGAGUAGAAAAGCAGUUCUCAUGGUAUCAUAGUUUCCAUGUUUACUCCAUCAUGAAAAAUGAAUAACUUUUGAUCAAUCAAAAAUAGAAGUUUCCCUGUGUCAUGUUUCUUUUUUCAAGUGUUUAAUAUAAGGAUUAUUUUUGCUCAUAUAUUAUUCCAUUCUCCGCAUUUUCUUUUUCUUUACCAGCUUAGACUUAGCAAAUGAAAAAUUCUCUUGCUGACAAAGUUGCCAACAACACACGGUUCUUCCAGACAUUUCUUUUUUGUCUAACCUCAGUGCCUCCGUACUUGCUCCUAAAGAACAUCCAAGGUGUAUGUCAAAGGUUAUAGGACAAAAAAUAAAAAAAUGUACUUACAUUUCCAGUAUAUAUUCUAUAACCAUGCUAAGAAUCAAAAAAAAAAAAACUUCCAUCCUAAUUAAAUAAUUUCUCUGUACAACAAAUCUUUUCCAAAAUACAUGUUCACUGUCUUCUCAACUUGGGCAUAUUUACAACGUAUCACCGUGCGCGCACGGUGAACAUCUCCUUGUGCCAGGAACUCAUUGAACCAUGACAAAAUUCACUUGACCAUUCUUCCUAGUCUGCUGCUCCACUCAACAGUCAACACAAGGAGGCGACGUCCACGUGUCACUGGAUUUCAUAUCCAAUUCCGAAAUCAAAAGCGCCGUUAUCCAAAUUCACAAAAAUAUCUAAAGAAUCAAGCAAAAAUGAUUUCUUCUACAACCUUAGGCUUCUCAAACCUCACUCCGACGACGACGACAGCCUCGUCCGUCUCCGAGCCGAAGUCCAAGUCUGAACCUGCAUCUCCAUCCGACAAACCUUCCCGAAAAAUCAGAAGUAGCCCGCAACUAAACCGGUGGUCCCGUGCUCGCGCAGUCCGUUCUGGCCGGAAAUUAGACCGCCGGGUUCAGAAAAUUACCAGCACCGCCGGUUCUCUAGUUCGUAUUGACAGUAACAAUAGUUCUAAUUCUAUUAAUUGGGAAAGUGAGUCGGGUGAAGAGAGUGGUGGGAUCAGCGGAAUGGAUGAAACGGAAGUAACGGCGGGUGGGAAGUCAAUUUACAUGGUGUCUGAUGGGACCGGCUGGACGGCGGAGCAUUCCGUCAAUGCUGCCUUAGGGCAGUUUGAACAUUGCUUGGUCGAUCGGGUUUGUCCCGUUAGUACCCAUUUGUUCUCUGGGGUAAGCUAAACUGAAUUUAACAGCUUUUACCCUUUUUAAAUAGACUCGUACUAUUUCUUGACUUAUUUGUAUUGUUUUCAGUUUCAGUGGUUGAGUUUACAUUGAAAUUUUGACGUGUUGAUAGCACAUUUUCACGAUUGAAGCCCUUAACUUUAAGUAGAUAAAACUUGUGUCCUGUUUGCUAAUAUUUGCUUCAAAGCAUACCCUUCCAGGUAUUUUUCCAUAAAGUUCUUAUUUUUGCUGGAUUACGGGUUAGAUGGGAUGCAAAUUGGUAUUUCUUCAGUUGCCAUAGUGUUUGUCAUACUUGUGGAGUACUUAUUUCAGGAAGAAGAUGCGUUUAAUUUGAACUAAUGGUUCAUGGCUUGUGUAACAAUCGGUAGGGGUUAUUUAAGUGUGUGGAUAAAUCAGUGAUCAGCUUAAAAAAAAAAAGAGUGAUCACCUACUGAUAAGAUGGCUUCAUUCCGUGGCAUCAAUAGAAGUUGCCUGACUAACUGAUGUCAGUUGAAUUUUUAAAGAAAAAGUAAUGUCGGUUGGGAAAUGGGGUUGUAGAAUUGUGUUUCUAUAUAUUAGGCUGUAGACUGAAAAGACUGGCUGAUACGAGCUAUGAUCUUGUAAUAGAAUGCCAAGCUUUGUGUUCAAAUCUUUCUAUAAACUUUCCAACAUUAUUUUCUAAGAAAGCACUUGCAAUUCACUCAUCUGUCAUGUUUCUUCUGAUUCUUUUGUGAGAUUCCAAAAACAUUUGACGUAUUCUGGUUAUGGUUUCCAAUUGCACAAAGCACUAAAAAUUGUAUUUAGAAGGGGAGAAAGUGUUCUGCGGUUUCUUUGCCUGCAACUGCAAGCAAUCACCCUGAACUUUUUAAGUAUGAGCUCUUGUUUUAUUGGAACUUUUCAAGUCUAUGUUUCAAGACCUCAUUGAGAAAUAAGUAUCUCAAUAGUUAUCCAUGUUUCUUGUGGUACUUUGUUGUUUUCUUAAAUGAUGCACUGUGCCAAUGCCAAAAUGAAGGCAUUAGAAAAGUGCAAAAUAAUAGCAUGGAGACACACUCUGGCUUCUAGGUGGGUAUGUUUUACUUAUUUUCUUUGUGAAGACAUUUGAGACUUCUAAUGAAGUAAUUAGCAUGACUUGGUAAUUGACGAAGCUGUUUGAGCGACACCUUGAACUUGAGAUGGGCUUGACCUAGCAUAAUCUGAGUGAGAUUGUUAAUUGGCAAAUGGUUCUUUUUUUUUUUUAAUCAAUUCUAAGUGUGUACUUCUAGAUCGUGUGUUACUUCUUGUAGCUGACACUUCCCUUUGGUCAUUUUGCUGCAAUAUUUUUGAAACUCCAGAUUGAUGAUGUUGAGCGGUUGAUGGAGGUUAUCAAGCAAGCAGCCAAAGAAGGAGCAAUGCUUGUCUAUACUCUGGCUGACCCCUCCAUGGCUGAAUCUGCCAAACAAGCAUGCCAGCUUUGGGGUAUACCAUCAGCUGAUAUCCUUGGUCCAAUAACAGAAUCAAUUGCAUCCCACCUGGGUGUUUCACCUUCAGGGCUCCCGCGUUGGGCUCGUGGACGGAGCAGCUCCCUUAGUGAGGACUACUUCCGCAGGAUCGAAGCAGUUGAAUUCACUAUAAAGCAAGAUGAUGGGGCCUUACCCGAAAACUUGCAUAAAGCAGAUAUUGUUCUUGCUGGUGUGUCUCGCACUGGAAAAACACCACUUUCAAUAUACCUGUCACAAAAAGGAUACAAAGUGGCAAAUGUUCCUAUUGUAAUGAAUGUAAAGUUGCCAAGUGCUCUUUUUGAGAUUGACCCAGAAAAGGUUUUUGGUCUCACUAUCAAUGCUGUUGUUCUGCAUACCAUCAGAAGUGCAAGAUCAAGGACCUUGGGCUUUGCUGAAGACAUAAGGAGCAACUAUUCUGAAAUGGACCAUGUAAAAGAAGAGCUGGAAUUUGCUGCUAAAAUUUUUGCCCAAAAUCCUGUCUGGCCAGUCAUUGGUGAGCACUUACAGACUUCUCAUAGUAUGUUCGGCCAAAUAUCUGAUAUUAUGUAAUUAUCAUUACAAUCAUCAAAAUUGGGACAUGAAGAUACUUUUGGACAUCCUUAGCAACCAAGUAACCUAGGAUGAUACAAGAUUAACACAGUGGUAACUUCUAAGUGCAAAUAUUUAUUUUAGCUUGGUUGGUUGUUAUUAACCUGAUUUUGUACUGUAUUGUUUCUGGGCAUGGUUGCAGAAGUCACAGGGAAGGCAAUUGAAGAAACAGCAGCGAUUGUACUAAGACUUUUCCAUGAUAGAAAGAAUAGGUGCUCAAUGCCAAGAAUUUCCAAACGCUAUUAGAUAGAUUGGGAGCUAUUUGCUGCUGAAUAUCCUGGGGAUCUGACAUUGAGGCCGAAACAAGAAGAUGUCAGCGAAUGUAUGGGUCUAGGCAUCUAGUCCAGCAAAUUAUUGCUUACUAAGUUGGGAGCUGCUGAAGGUACUUUCUGAAGUUCUAAAGUACAGAAGUUUCAGAUUGAUCAUCUUACAUGCCAUUGCAACAAAGUAAUAAUUGUAAAGCCGUGGGAUUCUCUUUUACCGGUCAAUCUUCAUAUAAUUUACUUGAAAUGAAAGAGAAAGUCGGGCAAAUGGAGGAGAAGAGGGAUUGGGGAGGUCCACUCGCAUUUUUGCACAUAUCUAGUUGCUUUAGCAAUGACUUCUAUAAUCAAACAUGAUAUUUGAUGAGCCAUUGCCUAAAUAGUUGAAAUUACUGGAAGAAUGCCCAGUUUAUGGUUCGGCUAGAUUAUACUUUCUCCAAAAAGAGUAAAAGUAAGAAGAUUUGGUGGGUUUCACGUCCAACAUAAUGCUAGAACGUUUUUUAGCAGGAAAUGCUGCUGAGUGCUAAUUCAUGUACACGUGCUUUUUUAUUUGUUUCUGACUUCUCUGCUUUGAGUGUGUAUGCAAAUUGGAAUGCGUAAAGUUCCUUUUUUUCUUGAUUCUCCUCCACAUAAAAUUACGAGUUACAGACCUUCAUCCAAAGAAUCUCCAUCGUCUAAUCCAUCGAGAAUAUGUCAAUCAAUCAAGAAACAUGAGGGAUACUCCUUGUAAUGAAUUAAUUGUUCUUCUCCUAGGUAAGGUGAAUAAUGAAGUCCUCAGGUCUGAACAAUAAGAAGUUCCCCCAGUUAUUUUAAUCAAUUGAAUGCUUUUGUACCAUAAAAUGUUUUAGAACCAUCUAAGGCUAAAAUCUGCACACCUAUAGACAUGUUCAGUGCUGUACACUGUUACAAUUCGCUUUAUUGCCUACCCACAUGGCAGCCAGACGCGACAAUUAGCGAACAACUACAAGUUUACUGUCUAGGGGAACCAGAAUGGGGCUAAACAGGAUUACUUUCUAGCUCUUCAUUUAGCUUGGCAGUCACGG
rnacentral:lncRNA from 1 species